rnacentral:misc_RNA from 1 species
GUGAAUCAUCAAAUCUUUGAACGCAAAUUGCACUCUCUGGUAUUCCGGAAAGUAUGCCUGUUUGAGGGUCAGUUAAAUAAAAAUCGGGGUUGGUUCUGCCUUUCCUGGGUACGCGUCGGGAUGGGGGCGUCUUACCCUCGGGUAAGGGACUUAAAAUUUUUGCAUGAUUUUCGAACGUAUUUAAAUCGCUUACGUCCGUUUGAUAUAUCGACUGCU